rnacentral:lncRNA from 1 species
UUCAAAAAGGCCACACUUUCGCUUCCCGUCCACCGGACUCCCCGAUCCGGCUCGUGUUUAGCGUCGGAAAAUGCGCUAUCAACUCCGCCGAGUACGGACCUCUCUGGCGAACCCUGCGCAAGAACCUCGUCACCGAGCUUAUAACCCCUACGAGAGUGAAGCAAUGUAGUUGGAUCCGCAAAUGGGCAAUCGAAAACCAUAUGAAAAGGAUCAAAAGUGAGGCUUU